GAUGAAGAACGUAGCGAAAUGCGAUAAGUAGUGUGAAUUGCAGAAUUCAGUGAAUCAUCGAAUCUUUGAACGCACAUUGCGCCUUCUAGUAUUCUGGGAGGCAUGCCUGUUUGAGCGUCAUUAAACCUCUCUCAAGUAUGAUUACUUGGAUGUGAAGGAAGAGUACCUUAAACUUAAGGAGUGUUCUCCUUUGAAAUUGAUUAGCAGAUGGUAAUGUUAUUAAAUCCCUGAUGUUGUAAGAAAUAACAGUGGUUUUGUAGACUAUUAUCUAGCUUUAAAUUAUAAUUUUUAUUAUGGUUGACCUCAAAUCAGGUAAGGAUACCCGCUGAACUUAAGCAUAUCAAUAAGUGGAGGA
rnacentral:misc_RNA from 1 species